CGCUGAACUUAAGCAUA
rnacentral:rRNA from 3 species